GGCUCUUCACCACCCAACCAAAACCACAGUGUGAACUUGCAACAGGGGAGGAAAAAAGAACCAAAACUUCCAAGGCCCUGCUUUUUUUUCUUAAAAGUACUUUAAAAAAAGGAAAAUUUGUUUGUAUUUUGUAUUUAUAUUUUAUAUUUUUGUACAUAUUGUUAGGGGUCAGCCAUUUUUAAUGAUCUGGGAUGACCAAACCAGCCUUUGGAGCGGUUCUCUGUCCUACUUCUGACUUUACUUGUGGUGUGACCUGUUCAUUAUAAUCUCAAAGGAGAAAAAAAAAAACCUUGUAAAAAAGCAAAAACAACAACAACAAAACAAUCUUAUUCCGAGCAUUCCAGUAACUUUUUUUGUUUGUGCACUUUAGCUGUACUGUAAGUAGUUGGUUUGUAUGAGAUGGUUAAAAGGCCAAAGAUAAAAAGGUUUCUUUUUUUCUCCCUUUUUUUGUCUAUGAAGUUGCUGUUUAUUUUUUUGGCCUGUUUGAUGUAUGUGUGAAACAAUGUUGUCCAACAAUAACACCGGAAUUUUAUUUUGCUGAGUUGUUCUAAAAAAUCCAAAAAAACAAAAACAGGUUGACA
rnacentral:lncRNA from 1 species